rnacentral:rRNA from 1 species
GAUGAACGCUGGCGGCGCGCCUAACACAUGCAAGUCGAACGAUUAAAGCACCUUCGGGUGUGUAUAAAGUGGCGAACGGCUGAGUAACACGUGGGCAACCUGCCCCUCUCAUUGGGAUAGCCACGGGAAACCGUGGAUAAUACCGAAUACUUCGGGACUUCCGCAUGGAAGACUCGAGAAAGCUCCGGCGGAGAGGGAUGGGCCCGCGGCCUGUUAGCUUGUUGGUGGGGUAAUGGCCUACCAAGGCAAUGAUGGGUAGCUGGGUUGAGAGACCGACCAGCCAGAGUGGGACUGAGACACGGCCCAGACUCCUACGGGAGGCAGCAGUGGGGAAUCUUGCACAAUGGGCGAAAGCCUGAUGCAGCGACGCCGCGUGCGGGAUGAAGGCCUUCGGGUUGUAAACCGCUUUCAGCAGGGACGAGGCGAAAGUGACGGUACCUGCAGAAGAAGCCCCGGCUAACUACGUG